AUUGACUACUGAUUCAAUUAAAGUCUAAAAAUAGUUACAAAAGAAACGAUUUUUGUUGAAUCUUCACGCUCUAAACAUCAUGUUGUAAUAGUUGCUAAUUUCUAUGUGGAUGGCAACGGGGUGGGACAAGAUAUCCCUCCCCAUCUCUCGCCACAACAAGGAUUAUCGGGAAACAAAUGAUGCAAUAAGGCAAAGAGGGUAUUAUAAUAGUAAAAUUCGUGACAAAUUCAAAACAAGGACCAUACUAUCAAUCCCCGUCGAAUAUAGCCGCAAAUCCUCACCACAUUAGGUGCCAAAAUUUUAAAUCUUUUUUCUUCAUCGUCAAAACGAUUUUGCCANCUUCUUUUCAACCACGUAUUCUUCAAUAAAAUAAUAUUAAAUACAAAUUCAAUUUUUAUUUUUAUUUUUUAGCCACACAUUCUCCAUUAAAUCACUAUUAAAAAAUCAUUUUUUUUUUUUGGCAAAAAAUUGAUUUCAAACAAACUCUUAAUAUUUUAUUGCGAUCUACAGUAGACAGUCAACGAUCGCCCUCAAACUCCUAGAAUCACCCCUACUAACCACUCGACAUUAAAAUAAACACAAAAUUUCCGAGAAGGAAAUCCUUGUUCGGCGAAUCAAACUGUUACAAAACAUUGACUACUGAUUCAAUUAAAGUCUAAAAAUAGUUACAAAAGAAACGAUUUUUGAUGUUGUAAUAGUUACUAAUUUCUAUGUAGAUGGCAAUGGUAUGGUACAAGAUAUCCCUCCCCAUCUCUUGCCACAACAUUGAUUAUCGGGAAAUAAAUGAUGCAAUAAGGCAAAGAGGGAAUUAUAACAUGCCCAGUUACUUAUUUAUUUAAAUUUUAAAUAAAAAUUAUAUUUAGAAAUAUAAUAAUAAAAUUUGUGACAAAUUCAAAACAAGGACCAUACUAUCAAUCCACGUCGAAUAUAGCCGCAAAUCCUCACCACAUUAGGUGCCAAAAUUUUAAAUCUUUUUUCUUCAUCGUCAAAACGAUUUUGCCAUUUGACACAAACACACUCAAUUGGCAAUCAUUGAAGAAAUGUUUUAAUAUAACACCAUGCUCGUAUAGUCUGAAUAGAAAUUUAAAACAGACCAUGUAUUUUGGUGCUGGCUUCAAUUCUUUCUUUUCCCAACCCAAAAUUUUAACCUACCCACUAAAAUAGAAAGAAAAAUAGAUGGCAAGGCAACUAAAAAUGUCAAGAAUCAGCAAGCAAUCAGAGAACUUUGAAGACCAUUGAAUAUGUAUUUCCACAUAUAAUUCAGAAUAUACAAGUUUUCAUCAUAUUGCUUUGCCCUUUGCAACACCAAAAACAUGGCCUCUUCUUGAAAAGAUCACAUUGGUUUAAGCUACACAAAGAUAAGAAUUAAGUGCAAAAAAAUAUAUAUAUAUACAGGAAUCCUUAUUCAAAACCUAUAAUUCUUGUUAAUAACUUGAAAGGAAACAAAGGCCAUAACAUAAUUUUCAUAUCAUCAAAAUUCAACAAUUAAUCAAACAAAGCAAAGCAAUCAGAGAACUUUGAAAAACCAUAAUAAUUACAACCCCACAUUGAAAUUCGGCUUAUGAAUUCUCAUCAUUUUGCUUUACUUGCUGUUUACAGCUUAUAGUAAGGGCAAAAUAUAGCUGAAUGAAUAAACCUUAAUUCAACCAAAACUCUUGCCAAAAUACAAAAUUUCUGUAGCACCGAAAUACCUUUGCCUCGAAUUUUUCUUCACAACUAUUAACUCCAAGUUGCAAAGGGCUAUUUGGUGCAAUUUUUAACCAUCUGUGAAACUGGGCUCAGUUUAAAUCAACAACAAACAACAACCGAAACCACAACAUCACUUCACUUCGGCUGCCACAAAGGAUUAAGGUAAAUGGUGGAAAAAGGAAUAGUUGAACUCAAAUGAAUCAAGACGGCUGCCACUUUUUUGCCUCUAUUGCAAACACACUCAAAUCACAAGAAAACGGCCAUAGGCAAAUGGGAGCUUGUAUAGAUUAGUUUAGGUCAUUUGUCAAGUUGGGCCAAAGACACUAAACCUAG
rnacentral:lncRNA from 1 species